UACGUGGGGUGCAAGCGGUUUGUUCGGAAUUACUGGGCGUAAAGCGCGUGUAGGUGGCUAAUUAUGUCAGGUGUGAAAGCCCUCGGCCUAACUGAGGAAGUGCGCCUGAAACUGAUUGGCUUGAGUACGAGAGAGGAGGACGGAAUUCCCAGUGUAGAGGUGAAAUUCGUAGAUAUUGGGAAGAACACCGGCGGCGAAAGGCGGUUCU
rnacentral:rRNA from 1 species